UCUAAGCACAAGCCUAAGAAUGGUAAAGCCGCGAAUGGCUCAUUACAACAGCCAUAGUUUACUGGAUCUUACUUUCCUACUUGGAUAACUGUGGUAAUUCUAGAGCUAAUACACGCAUGAAAGCUCUGACCGUUCGGGAGGAGCGCAUUUAUUAGAACAAAACCAAUCGGGCCUUCGGGCCCGCCAAUUGGUGAAUCUGAAUAACUUUGCAGAUCGCACGGUCUCGUACCGGCGACGUAUCUUUCAAAUGUCUGCCUUAUCAACUUUAGAUGGUAGUUUACACGCCUACCAUGGUUGUAACGGGUAACGGAGAAUAAGGGUUCGACUCCGGAGAGGGAGCCUGAGAAAUGGCUACCACAUCCAAGGAAGGCAGCAGGCACGCAAAUUACCCACUCCCGGCACGGGGAGGUAGUGACGAAAAAUAACGAGGCGGUUCUCUACGAGGCCCGCCAUCGGAAUGGGUACAAUUUAAAUCCUUUAACGAGGAUCUAUUGGAGGGCAAGUCUGGUGCCAG
rnacentral:rRNA from 2 species